rnacentral:rRNA from 1 species
GACGAACGCUGGCGGCGUGCCUAAUACAUGCAAGUCGAACGAGUGGCGGACGGGUGAGUAACACGUGGGAACCUACCCAUCAGAGGGGGAUAACACGUGGAAACAGGUGCUAAUACCGCAUACUGAUUGAUGGACCCGGGGUGCAUUAGCGAGUGGGUGAGGUAACGGCUCAACUAGGCGACGAUCUCUAGCUGGACUGAGAGGAUGAUCAGCCACACUGGGACUGAGACACGGCCCAGACUCCUACGGGAGGCAGCAGUGGGGAAUAUUGCACAAUGGGCGCAAGCCUGAUGCAGCCAUGCCGCGUGUAUGAAGAAGGCCUUAGGGUUGUAAAGUACUUUCAGCGGGGAGGCGUUACCCGCAGAAGAAGCACCGGCUAACUCCGUGCCAGCAGCCGCGGUAAUAC